rnacentral:misc_RNA from 1 species
AGGAAGUAAAAGUCGUAACAAGGUCUCCGUUGGUGAACCAGCGGAGGGAUCAUUACCGAGUUUACAACUCCCAAACCCCUGUGAACAUACCACUUGUUGCCUCGGCGGAUCAGCCCGCUCCCGGUAAAACGGGACGGCCCGCCAGAGGACCCCUAAACUCUGUUUCUAUAUGUAACUUCUGAGUAAAACCAUAAAUAAAUCAAAACUUUCAACAACGGAUCUCUUGGUUCUGGCAUCGAUGAAGAACGCAGCAAAAUGCGAUAAGUAAUGUGAAUUGCAGAAUUCAGUGAAUCAUCGAAUCUUUGAACGCACAUUGCGCCCGCCAGUAUUCUGGCGGGCAUGCCUGUUCGAGCGUCAUUUCAACCCUCAAGCACAGCUUGGUGUUGGGACUCGCGUUAAUUCGCGUUCCUCAAAUUGAUUGGCGGUCACGUCGAGCUUCCAUAGCGUAGUAGUAAAACCCUCGUUACUGGUAAUCGUCGCGGCCACGCCGUUAAACCCCAACUUCUGAAUGUUGACCUCGGAUCAGGUAGGAAUACCCGCUGAACUUAAGCAUAUCUAA